UACGAGAGGCCCAAACGUUGUUCGGAUUUACUGGGCGUAAAGCGCGUGUAGGCGGCUUUGCAAGUCGGAUGUGAAAGCCCACGGCUCAACCGUGGAAGUGCAUCCGAAACUGCAUGGCUCGAGUCUCGGAGAGGAAGGUGGAAUGCUUGGUGUAGAGGUGAAAUUCGUAGAUAUCAAGCAGAACACCUGCGGCGAAGGCGGCCUUCUGGACGAUGACUGACGCUGAGACGCGAAAGCGUGGGGAGCAAACAGG
rnacentral:rRNA from 1 species